GAGUUUGAUCCUGGCUCAGGAUGAACGCUAGCGGCAGGCCUAACACAUGCAAGUCGAGGGGUAGAACACUUCGGUGUUUGAGACCGGCGCACGGGUGCGUAACGCGUAUGCAAUCUACCUUAUACAGGGGAAUAGCCCAGAGAAAUUUGGAUUAAUGCCCCAUAGUAUUACGAAACGGCAUCGUUUUGUAAUUAAAGUUCCAACGGUAUAAGAUGAGCAUGCGUCCCAUUAGUUAGUUGGUAAGGUAACGGCUUACCAAGACAAUGAUGGGUAGGGGUCCUGAGAGGGAGAUCCCCCACACUGGUACUGAGACACGGACCAGACUCCUACGGGAGGCAGCAGUGAGGAAUAUUGGUCAAUGGGCGCAAGCCUGAACCAGCCAUGCCGCGUGCAGGAAGACGCAUCUAUGGUGUGUAAACUGCUUUUAUACAGGAAGAAACCCUCCCACGUGUGGGAGCUUGACGGUACUGUAGGAAUAAGGAUCGGCUAACUCCGUGCCAGCAGCCGCGGUAAUACGGAGGAUCCAAGCGUUAUCCGGAAUCAUUGGGUUUAAAGGGUCCGUAGGCGGUCUUAUAAGUCAGUGGUGAAAGCCCAUCGCUCAACGAUGGAACUGCCAUUGAUACUGUAGGACUUGAAUUUUUGUGAAGUAACUAGAAUAUGUAGUGUAGCGGUGAAAUGCUUAGAUAUUACAUGGAAUACCAAUUGCGAAGGCAGGUUACUAACAAACGAUUGACGCUGAUGGACGAAAGCGUGGGGAGCGCACAGGAUUAGAUACCCUGGUAGUCCACGCCGUAAACGAUGGAUACUAGCUGUUGGGAGUAAUCUCAGUGGCUAAGCGAAAGUGAUAAGUAUCCCACCUGGGGAGUACGAACGCAAGUUUGAAACUCAAAGGAAUUGACGGGGGCCCGCACAAGCGGUGGAGCAUGUGGUUUAAUUCGAUGAUACGCGAGGAACCUUACCAAGGCUUAAAUG
rnacentral:rRNA from 1 species